GACGAACCGUGCGAACGUUGUUCGGAAUCACUGGGCUUAAAGGGCGCGUAGGCGGGUUCGCAAGUCUGUGGUGAAAGCCUCCAGCUUAACUGGAGAAGUGCCGUGGAUACUGCGAAUCUUGAGGAGGGUAGGGGCAUCUGGAACGGUCGGUGGAGCGGUGAAAUGCGUUGAUAUCGACCGGAACUCCGGUGGCGAAGGCGAGGUGCUGGACCCUUUCUGACGCUGAGGUGCGAAAGCGUGGGGAGCAAACAGG
rnacentral:rRNA from 1 species